rnacentral:miRNA from 10 species
CAGUUAAAUGACACCAACUACA